CCUGCUCCACCGACCCACCGACCCGUAAAUCCGUUAACCCAUCUGCCCAUCUCAGUUUUUUUCUCCCGGAUAAUUGAUCGUGCUUCCGUUACCUUAUCUCUCACGUCCUAAUUCAAAAUUUUGAAUUCCAGAUCUUGCAAAACCAUCUUCAAGCUUUAUGAUCAGCAAUCAUUCGCCAGGCAUGUGUGUUUCAAAGCAGGCAUAGUUUAUACCUGAUUCCUUAUCCACUAUUCGAAUUUCUCCAGUGUUCUCAUGUCUUCAAUCUCCUCUGCCUGUCCCCUGCUAAGAAUUGAACACACGUGUUUUCUGAAUUGCUCCGUGCUCCAUCUGCCUACACUCACGCGGGCUGUUACAUUCUCUCCCCCCAUUUAUUAUUCCAAAAUCACUUUCGAUCUCCAGGAUAUCAGAGAUCAAGUACCGGGGAAGACAGGCUGCACUGGAUCAGUUAUGGUUGUGUUCGUUUCUGCAUAGCCAACGACGGACAAGCCACCCUCUCCACCACGUAUUCCUCCCCCGUCGACAACCACAUAUUUCAUGUCUCUGUGGUCCAAGUCAUGUUGUUAAAGAAAAUAACACGAUCCCGUUGAAGGUGUAAUCAUCCCUGUCACCAGCCAAUCGGCAUUUGAAAGCACAUGGAGUUGAACCGAUACACAUCCUGAUGGAUCAUACAUAUACAAGAUUAUUGACGAGCCUCUUCAAUUGAUGUCAGUGGAAGCGGCAUUUUUGUAUCCGGGAUCACAUAGAUUGAUCCCGCAACGACCACUGGCCAAGCUACAAUGGACAUGAUAGGAAACUCCAAAAGAAGACGUGGUCCAAAUGUCAAUAUAACAUAGUUGUUCCUUUGCUAGACGGGUUUUGAACCAGGUUUACAUCCAUUUGGCUCCUGGGUUACUGAAUCUGAACUGCACGUAUAAGCAUUAAUUCACGGAUUUUUGUACGGACACUGCAGGUGGAGAUCAAUCUAAACUACAAUCCACUCACCCACGAUUUCUGUUGAUUUCAUUACCAAGAAAUUUGAGAAAGGCUAGGGACUCUGGAGAGCUUGAAGAUAUUGUUAUAAAAGUUGAGCUUGCAUGGUCAUUUUACUGGAUAGAUAAAAAAGAUCCCCCAUAUGACUUGAUUUUUUGAGGAUAGUGAAUUACAAAUCCAGCUAUGAAGAGUCGGAAACAUGGACCAAAAUCGAAAAGUUGUAUGGUCGCUCUCCUUUCACUCCCAUUGAUGUAAAUAACAUGACUCACCUGUGCCGAAAAUCACCACCAGGCGCAUCUAAUUGCAACAUGUCAGCAAAAUCUAAUAUCACAUUCCAACUCCCUCCCACGCAAGUUCACAAAGGAAUAACAGUCAAGCAAAUGAUCUACGUUCAGAGAUGUGCUAUAUAAUGGAAGACUUUCAUAAUGCAGAUAAUGAGUGUAAUAAUAAGACGUCCAAAAGCCAAGCACCGACUUCUUCUCUGUGUUGCAAGAACAGAAAUGUUAAGCUUCCAAAAGAACCUCAGCCACCUGAACCACUAGCGUCUUUGUUGACAGGUGGUUUUAAGUCCAAGCAUUGGGUGGUACAUCCGAUGUUAUAGAUCCUGACAUAACAAUUCAAAUUCAAAUAUGUUGUAACCACUCUCAACUGUUAUGAUCA